GAGACAGACAGACAGGUUGAGAGACAGACGGACAGGUAAAGGGACAGGUAGAGAAACAGAUGGACACGUAAAGGAACAGGUAGAGAGACAGACGGACAGGUAAAGGGACAGGUAGAGAGACAGACAGACAGGUUGAGAGACAGACGGACAGGUAAAGGGACAGGUAGAGAAACAGAUGGACACGUAAAGGAACAGGUAGAGAGACAGACGGACAGGUAAAGGGACAGGUAGAGAGACAGACGGACAGGUAGAGAAACAGAUGGACACGUAAAGGAACAGGUAGAGAGACAGACGGACAGGUAAAGGGACAGGUAGAGAGACAGACGGACAGGUAGAGAAACAGAUGGACACGUAAAGGAACAGGUAGAGAGACAGACGGACAGGUAAAGGGACAGGUAGAGAGACAGACAGACAGGUUGAGAGACAGACGGACAGGUAAAGGGACAGGUAGAGAAACAGAUGGACACGUAAAGGAACAGGUAGAGAGACAGACGGACAGGUAAAGGGACAGGUAGAGAGACAGACGGACAGGUAGAGAAACAGAUGGACACGUAAAGGAACAGGUAGAGAGACAGACGGACAGGUAAAGGGACAGGUAGAGAGACAGACGGACAGGUAAAGGGACAGGUAGAGAGACAGACAGACAGACAGGUUGAGAGACAGACGGACAGGUAAAGGGACAGGUAGAGAAACAGAUGGACACGUAAAGGAACAGGUAGAGAGACAGACGGACAGGUAAAGGGACAGGUAGAGAGACAGACAGACAGGUUGAGAGACAGACGGACAGGUAAAGGGACAGGUAGAGAGACAGACGGACAGGUAAAGGGACAGGUAGAGAGAGAUGCUUGUACCUUUGUGUUCAGGUAUUGACAGUCCAAUAGCUUUGGCGUGUCAGCUUUGAUUGGUUUGUAUGCGAUUGACUUUUGUGCAACACAGUUUUUCUUGGCAGAAAACCAUUUUUGUUUUCCCAGCCUACUGACUGUUAAUUCAUUUAAAAUCCUCAGAGGCAGGUAAUGACACACACACACACACACACACACACACACACACGUAGCGUGUAGGAACCACUCCAGCUCAGGUAAUGAAAGAUUGUGAGAUAGAGAUAAGGGUUGUAAGUAUUUUUCACUCAAAUGCACUUCGUUCUCUUGCACACCAUCUCUACCUUGCUCCCUCUCUCUCUCCCCUCUCUCCUGCUCUCUUUCUCUCCCUUCCCCUCACCUCCUCUCUCUCUCUCCCCUCUCUCCUGC